CUGCCUUAGAUUUUCUCUCUACUGGAGAGGAAUGUCGCAAUGUUAGGGGUAGAAAACUCUGGGUUUGCGACCGUAGUUUUCGUUUUCCGACCAAUAGAGAGCCGCCUGAAGGCUGGUUGGGGUGGUGAGGCCCGAGGCAGACUGGAGAGAGCAUGCAUUCAGACCAGCCUGGUAUUUGGAAUUAACAGCAAAGAAAAACUUCCAUCAGAAAUCCUACACCAAUUAACACUCCUUCAUGCUAGAGUGAAUCCAGGAGCAGUGGGUGUCACAUUUUCCCAAAGUGGAGCCUAAGCCAACCUUUCUGCAUUUAACAAGUUAAUGAACAGCUUGUGAGUAACACUUUGCCCACUCUGGCCCAAUUUAGAAGGCUGCCAAAAGGAUAAGAUGUCAAUAUGCCACUCUCUGCUUGGCCAGGGUGCCAGCUGCAUCCUGCCUAAGUGCCUCUGCCCUCAGCCACUGGAGAGCAUGAUGUCCUUGGAGAAGUCGGCACCAGUAGGAUGAGGCUGCAGCGCGGGCCUGGCCUUUCCCCAAGCGGAAGAGAGCUUGUCUCGGAUCCUGUGAGAGAAGUGAGUGGGACGUGGUAUUCUGAGCAGCCCAGGUUUGGCUUUGGGCCAGGCACUGAGUGGCAAACAAGAAGGAACACAUUCCGGGAAGGCGAGGAGCCCUGCCAGCGCGAAGGAGGACCAGCCAGCAGGGCCUGCUGGGCGCCAGGUGCUCCUUGGCUCUGUGGAGGUCAGGCACGCAGAGGAUAAACUCGGGUUUCUCUGGAUUAUCAUUUCAGAGGCUUAAACGCCUCCCUCCCCCUCACUUUCAGUGGGCAAAGCGUAUGUAGCCAUGUAACCGUUAAAUUUGAAUCCUCUCUGCUCUGGGGUCCAGCCCCUUAUCUCUAAAUGAAGGGAGGAGGGGAAAGAGUGAAAUCACACCUUGCAGAAUCCAGGUUUCUGUAAUUCUGUGCCCUGGGUAGGAGAAGAUGCUACUGACAACAAGGGCAGAGCCGGGGAAAGCCUGGGGUUUCUGUGCCCUUGUUGGAAGCUGAGCUCCCCACUCGCCCCCAGAGCCCCCACCACACACCCACCACACACACACACCCCACACACCACACACACCCCACACACACACACACACACACCCCACACCACACACACACCCCACACCACACACACACCCCACACACACACACCACAUACACCACACACACACACCACACACACACACCCCACACACACACCCCACACACCGCACACACACACACCACACACACACACACACCACACAUAAAGCACACACACACCACACACACACACUCCACACACCACCCACACGCACACCACACACAAAGCACACACAUACCACACACAAAGCACACACACACACCACACACACACACACCCCACACCCCACACACACCACACAGACACCACACUUGUUCUUCACACCAGCCACUUCUGCCUUCUGACUGACAGACCUCAGGAGAUCUGCAGAGUCCUUGGGAAUGCUUUCUUCUCAUAAUCACCUCAGGCCUUUCCCCCAGGGUAUGAAAGAAGAGGGGAGAGGAGAGAAAGGACCAAAGGGCACCGGGGAGAAAUGGCCAUGGGAGCCUGCCCAGCUUCCCUUCUGCCACUGCCAGGGCCUGGGGACAGCGGGGGGGGCCUUUUUUUGAGAAAGAAGAGCAAAGUCUGUCCCUCACUGCCUUGGCUCCAGUUCCUACUGGACUUUGCUGCCACCUAGUGGCCCAGUGGCAUCUCACCUCUCCCCCCCCCACCCCACCCCCCAGAGUGAGAUCAGCCUAGGGAUCUGGCCUGUCCCAGCCUGAGGCUGACAGGAGAGCCUUCUCUGAAAAGCUUCUCUGCCCUAGGAUGCCCUGAUUCUGCAGCGCAGCUGCUAGGAGAGCGGAGCAGCACAGGGUCACCACCUCACCUAGCUCAAUAGGUGUCCUAAUGUCAUGGCCACCAGGUAUCAGACAGACCCCCUUGGCCUGGUCCCUGCACUGUCCCAGGCCCACCUUGGACACCUCCAUUACACUCAUGGAGAACAGAGCCCGUGGAGUGGAGGACCCUCCUGCAUGGCCUGCAGGUUACAUGGAAAAAGCAGCUGAGGACACAGAAUGCUGGACCUCUAUUCUCCUUCACAGCCGCUGCCACAGUCCCCUGCUGCAGAUAGUGUCCUCUCAGAUUCAGCCAGCCUCAUGAGGGGCCAGAACAGAGCCUCUGCACAGAGCGUGAACACUCCUCUUGCUGGAAUCCUGGCCACAGGCCCUCCUCUCCUCAUUCAUAGCUUACCUCACUCCCUCCAGUCUGCCCUGCAUGGGUCCCUGGCUGACUGCAGAGAAGUCCUUUGGGCCCCAGAACAGGGACUCUCAGGCGUCCAAGUGAGAGCACAGUAUGCUGGGAGAGAGCGGAGCCCACACUGGUGGUUUGGGUUCUGGCCUCUGUCCCACCACUGGAGUGAGCCAAGUGACAGGUAUCAAAGCAUGGCCUUUGUCCCUUGCAGUGACCCCAAGUGCUCUUCCUGUGUGUCAGAGCUGUUUCCAAGGAACAAGUUAAAAAUUUUUUUUCAUUUAAGUGGUUGCUGAGGCUUAGUGUAGAGAAUUCCUCAGCUAGAUCCAAAAAUCUGGCUUUUUGUCUGAGUCCCAAAAUUGUAGGAGCUUUGUAAACAGGUACUAAAGAUCACUCAUUAAAGGAGGGAGAAGAGUUGGGGGGAGGAGGAGGGAUCUGGAAUAUUUUCUUUCAGACUCAGUCUCAGCACAGCAGCAGCAUAAACCAAGGGGAUUGUUGGUGGCACCUUAGCACCCAGAGCAUUCUUCUUGGAGGAGUGGGGACAAAGCCCAAGUGGCUGUUACCUGCACACAGGAGAGAUGACCAGGUCAGACAAAGGGCCUAGAAGGCAGACCGAUGAGUCAGUGAAGACUCUGUCCACCCAUGAGAGGGGGUCCAGGUGGGAUCUGUGUACCCUGCCCAACCUUGCUGAGGGCCAUCAAGCCAGCUCAAGGGCAAGGCCAAGACCAGCCAGACUAACAAGCAGCCUGGCCAUAGGUUUUGGCUGCUGUCCUUAACCCUCAAUCCCAGAAGCAUGAGAAAGAGAAAGGGCAUCACCUGUGCCCAGGGACUGAGCUGCCCCAAUUCAGGGAGCAUAACUGCUGUUCUAGCCGGGAGAUGCGGAACGCCAGGUACGACGAAGACAUGACCAAGAAGCAGAUCCUGGAGAAAGAGGGCCUUAACCCUAAGUUACAGGGUUGUAAGGAUGAAAACUGGAAAUACUUUAUCUUGCUCUAGAAGAGCCUGCUGCACGGCCGCCAGACGCCACCUGGGAGCUUGCAGUUGACUCAGAACCUUCCCCUCGCUCUGGACACUGACCUCCCCACACACCAAGGCCCCGGCUCUAAACACUAAGACACCCACCACCCUCCAUACAGUCACCUACAGCACGAAGAAGACCUUCAGGAGCCCGUGAUCCCAGAGCCUCAGCUCCCUGUUGCUCUUGGGCUCCUCCUCCAGCUUCUCCUCCUCACAGUCUGCAUUCUCUGCAACAGGAUGGCGUUAGGCAUCUUCCUGGGGCAGAAGGCAGGACCCCAGCCCACUCCCCCACCCGUAUUCUCUGAAGC